rnacentral:ncRNA from 1 species
UUGAGCUGUACGAGAUGAAAGUCUCAUAUACAGUUCUCAGAGGGGGAUCACACCUAUCUCAAU